GGAGUGUCCUAUGUGGCAGGGAGACCUCCACUCAGCAGGACACGACCUGGGAAGAUCAGAAAACCCAUUGGUUUAAGCUACAAAUAGAGAAGAUGUUGAAACACAGAGAAGGCGUAAGAACUAAAGGGAGACACAACCAAGAAGAAGCAAAGAUGGAAGACCAUGCAAGAGUGGACUGAGCACAGAGUGGGAGGGUGAGAGCAAGGUUCUUGGUGUCAGGGAAUGACUGAAAAGAAUAAAGCCAAA
rnacentral:lncRNA from 10 species